rnacentral:rRNA from 1 species
GGUGAGUAACGCGUGGGUAACCUGCCUUAUACAGGGGGAGUAACAGUCAGAAAUGGCUGCUAAUACCGCAUAAGCGCACAGAGCUGCAUGGCUCAGUGUGAAAAACUCCGGUGGUAUGAGAUGGACCCGCGUCUGAUUAGCUAGUUGGUGGGGUAACGGCCUACCAAGGCGACGAUCAGUAGCCGGCCUGAGAGGGUGAACGGCCACAUUGGGACUGAGACACGGCCCAAACUCCUACGGGAGGCAGCAUG